UACGAAGGUCCCAAGCGUUGCUCGGAAUCAUUGGGCGUAAAGCGGGUGCAGGUGGCUUUGUAAGUCAGGAGUGAAAGCCCAGGGCUUAACCCUGGAAGUGCUUUUGAUACUGCAAAGCUUGAGUGUGAGAGAGGAUGCUGGAAUUCCUGGUGUAGUGGUGAAAUACGUAGAUAUCAGGAGGAACCCCGGUGGCGAAGGCGGGUAUCUGGCUCAACACUGACACUUAGACCCGAAAGCGUGGGGAUCAAACAGG
rnacentral:rRNA from 1 species